CUGGCCUUGACAUCCCCCUGACAGCAGAGUAAUGUCUGACUUCCUUCGGGACAGGGGAGACAGGUGGUGCAUGGUUGUCGUCAGCUCGUGUCGUGAGAUGUUGGGUUAAGUCCCGCAACGAGCGCAACCCCUAUCUUCAGUAGCCAGCGAGUAAAGCCGGGCACUCUGGAGAGACUGCCGGGGAUAACCCGGAGGAAGGUGGGGAUGACGUCAAAUCAUCAUGCCCCUUAUGGCCAGGGCUACACACGUGCUACAAUGGCGUAAACAGAGGGAGGCGAAGGAGCGAUCCGGAGCGAAUCCCAAAAAUAACGUCCCAGUUCGGAUUGUAGUCUGCAACUCGACUACAUGAAGCUGGAAUCGCUAGUAAUCGCGAAUCAGAAUGUCGCGGUGAAUACGUUCCC
rnacentral:rRNA from 1 species